rfam:Schistosoma curassoni strain Dakar, Senegal genome assembly, scaffold: SCTD_scaffold0003357
AUCCAGCUGAGUAGUCUCAAAUAGGACGAACAUGCGCGUCCUGGAU